AUCAUCGAAUCCAACGGCUCGAGAUCGUCGCGGACCCUCUCCCCUCCGCACGAGCUCCUCACGCGCGUCCCCCAAAUCCCCAAUCACGCCGCCAAUGAGAACCCCGUCACUGUCCUCCUCUUCAUCCUCGCCGCGGCCCACCGCCUCCGCCGGUUCCUCCUCCUCCGCCGCCGCCGCCGCCGCCGCGCAGUCUCGCCACCACUUCGCGCAGGGCGCCCAGCUCCUCGCCCGUGCGCGCGCCGCCGCAGGGACCAAGAAGCGGAGCCCCCCGCGCGGCGCUCGCCGAGGCCGACCGCGCCAUCGCCCGUCGACGCCGCCACCUCACCCGACCCGUGCUCCCUCCCCGUCCCCAAUCCCGACGAAUCCUCCAUCGCGCCGCCGCCGGCUUCCACCACGCCCCCCGACCAUCCCCCCUCUCCCCAAUCCCGGCAGCUCCUCCCAUCUUGCGAGUCACCGAUCGCCCAAUGCGGUGAUCGAACCGUCGCACCGCCGCCGGCUUCCACUGCGCCCCCCAGCCAUCUCUCCUCCUCCCCAAUCCCGGCGGUCUCCGUCACGCCGCCAUCAAGUCGUCAUCGAUUACUCGCCCUCCGAUACCCAUCGCGCCUCCUCGCCCCCACUCCGCUAGCCAGAAUCAUUCCGGUGCAGCCAGCGACCCCAACAGCUCCUCUCGCCACCACCACCACCGUCUUCUCCCUUUGUCCAGCUCAGGUGACCGGAGAGAAAGAGAGAGCGCAAUGUGUCUUUCUGGGCCAAGCGCUUCCAGAAUUCCUCUUCCCUAGGCCCGCACACGACACGCCGGGCCACCGUUUGGCCUCUCGCCGCCGGUGACUGGAGCUGAGAACGAGCCCCCCCCCCCCCCCCCCCCGCCCC
rnacentral:lncRNA from 1 species